rnacentral:lncRNA from 1 species
UGCUCUUCAUUUAGCCCUAUUUGUCUUAAAGAGAAGCCACAGCUGAAUCCGACAUUGGGAACACAUUCCUACGAAGUAAAUAACAUCUUGUUUCUAGACGUUUACCUGUGAAAAGGAACGAACUUACAAAAAGGAGCUAAGAAGACAAAGCAAUAUGGAUGGAGCUGGAAGCCAUCAUCCUAAGUGACCUCACAAGAACAGAAAACCAAAUAUUGCAUGUUCUCACUUAAAUGUAGUGAACAAGAUGGAUUGAAGGUAAUCUUGGUUAACCUGAAAAAA